rnacentral:lncRNA from 1 species
CUUUUCUGGUUCGCCCCUACGAUGUGCAAUCGUAGGUUUUCAGGUAAACAAUGAUGCAUAGCUGAGAGUCCGGAGAUGGCAUUAGGAGCUGUCUUCCUUUUGCGUUUUCAAUAAUUGAGUCGCUUUGCUAGGAAGUCCUAUGGGGGAACUCUAAAUUUUAUUUUAGUUGUUUUAUUGCUUUACGAAUUUUUAAAUUGAACCGUGGUGUUUACCUUAGUAAUUUGAAUCUUUCGGCAAAUUAGUUUUGUUUAUGAGUUUGUUUCCGCUGCAUUUUUAUUAAAGAGACAUUUUACAAAUAAAAUUAAAGGGUAAAAAUUAAGGGUGUUACAUGAGUGAAUCUGUUUUUUGCAGGGGGUAAACAGAAAAAAAAUCUGCAUAGGGGGUAAACGAAAAUUUGCUUAUUUUGUGGGGGGAUAAAUGAUCAUUUACCCUAUAAAAAAAGACAUUCGCCCAUUAAAAUAUUUUGCUUAUAUAGUUCAUGUUAUUAUGAAUAAUAAUACUUAAUGAAGUCCAUUAUUGUGUAGGUUUUCUUAUCCUCUAAAUGUGUCCUGUAACUAGGAUCUCUUUGUUACAAUGUAAAACACUUGUGAAUAGAAUAAUACAAAGUUUAUUCCUUUCUCUUUCUCUCA